GCAAGUAGCCGGACGCGGCGCGGCCGGCUGGAGGGCGCGGACGGGGGCGGCGGGUGGGCGCGCAGGCAGGCACCGCCCGCUCCCCAUGCGCGGCCCGUCGCGGGGGGCGCUUCCCCGGUGAGGGCGGAUUCCCGCUGCCCGCCUCGUACCCCUUCCCCGGUGCUCCGGACCCUGCCUGGCCCCUAAGAUGGCGAGUGGGAUGAAUGGCCCGGGCGGCGGCGCGGCGACCGGGGGCGGCGAGGAGGAGCCGGGCGCCCGCCACACGGGAGGUGGAGCCGUCCCUCAGCAGGAGCCCGGCGUGCCCGGCGCGGCGGCGGCGGCGGGCGAGGGGGAGCCGGCGACGGGCGAGGGCGGCCGCUGCCCGUCCCCUCAGCCCCACCACCUGCUGCUGAUGCUGCGGCGCUCGCCCAGCGCCUCGCUCUGCCCGGCGCCGGAGGCCGCCCCCGCGGCGGGCCGCGCCGUCCCCGCGGUGGGCCGCGGCGGGCAACCCCCCCCGGCGGGCCGCGGCGUCCCCCCGCCCUCCGCCGCCGCCGGGGAGGACGUGAGGAAGUGCGGCUACCUGCGGAAGCAGAAGCACGGGCACAAGCGCUACUUCGUCCUGCGGGCUGAGAGCCACCUGGCCCCCGCCCGGCUGGAGUACUACGACAGCGAGAAGAAGUUCAAGAGCAGCCUGCGGGCGGCGGGGGCCGGCGGGGCGGCCUCCCUCUGCUGCCCCCCGCCCAAGCGGGUCAUCCCCCUCUACCAGUGCUUCACCGUCAGCCGGCGGGCGGACGCCAAGCACAAGCACAUCAUCGCCUUGUACACCAAGGACGAGUACUUCGCCAUGCUGGCAGAGAACGAGGCCGAGCAGGAGGCCUGGUACCAGGCGAUCAGCGAGCUCAUGAGCCAGAGCAAGAGGGGCUUCCUGGAGCAGGAGGACCAUGCUGAUCAGCAGGUGGACGAGGACGACGAGCACUACGGGGCUGCCCUGAGGCCUGGCACCGUCUUCAAGGAGGUGUGGCAAGUCAACGUUAAGCCCAAAGGGUUGGGACAAACAAAAAACCUUACUGGAGUGUAUAGGUUGUGCCUCUCCAGCAAGGCCAUCCACCUCGUCAAGCUGAACUCGGAGGUCCCCUCCGUCCACUUGCAGCUGAUGAACAUUCGGCGCUGUGGACACUCGGAAAACUUCUUCUUCAUCGAAGUGGGCAGAUCUGCCUCCAUUGGACCUGGAGAGCUCUGGAUGCAAGUGGAUGAUUCGGUGGUUGCCCAGAAUAUGCACGAGACUUUUCUGGAGACCAUGAAAGCUCUAAAGGCCUUUGCGGAGUUCAGGCCCCGAAGCAAGAGCCAGUCUUCUGGUGGUGGUAGCGGUACCAAUCCUAUCUCCUUCAUCACCACGAGGAGGCACUUGGGCAACCUGCCCCCCAGCCAGACAGGCUUGCAGAGAAGACCUAGAACCGAGAGUGUUGCCGGAGGGACUCCUCCUACCACCAAAAGCAGCAACUCCUAUCGCUUCAGAACAUCCAGCGAAGGAGAAGGAACCAUGACUAGACCUUUUAGGUCGGUGACUGGGAGUCUGAUCCACCUCAAUACUGCGAGAAUGAAUUUGGGCCGGCAAGAAGGGAGUGGAAGGUACGUGAGAGCCGCUUUCAGCUCGUCUUACCACACCAGGUCUGCUUCGCUGCCUGUUUCUCAUUUUCCCUCCACUACAAGUCCCAUCAGUGUUUCUUCCAGCAGUGGCCACGGCUCUGCUUCGGACAUGCUGACCAGGCCUUCUAGCUCAUCCGUUUGUGGUUCCCCAAGCGAUGGGGGAUUUAUAUCUUCUGAUGAAUAUGGCUCCAGCCCCGGAGAUUUCAGGUACUUUCGGGUCAGGAGUAACACACCGGAUUCCCUGGGAAACACGCCGCCUAUCAGAGAGGAGAACUGUCUGAGCGAGUACAUGUCCAUGAGUAAGCAACAGGCAGAUGAUAACUCAAGAGAUGAUUACAUGGAGGCUGAGAAGUGUCUCAGGAAAAGAACUUACUCUCUAACAAAACCAACUUCUGUAGCAGUGCAGCAGAAGACGACACAAACUACAGCUUCAUUAGAUGAAGACUCUGCAGGAAAUCAUGGACGAUUACUUUACUCUGAAACACCAAAAUUGAAAGAUAACCAUGAAUUGGAGUACAACGAUGCUAACCUUGAUUCCAUAUGUAACCAAAGUAGGAGUAAAGCCAGGGAUGAUGGGUACAUGCCAAUGAUGCCAGGAGUUGCAUCUUCUCUAUCCAGCAACAGCGAUUAUUUGCCAAUGACUCCUAAAAGUAUGUCUGUUCCAAGACAGAUUAACAAUUCAUGGUCACCGUCUCAGGUUGACUCCAGAGGAUAUAUGAUGAUGUUUCCAAAGGCUAGCUCUUCACCUGUACGAAGUCCUUUAACUGGAUUUAUUUCUAAAGGAAGUAAUGAGAAGAUCAUAAACAAUGAGUAUAUGGAUAUGUCACCUGGUAAUUCAGCUCCAAAGCACCCCGGUGAUUCGAAUUAUAUUCACACCGCUUCUGUUUCCAAAGGUUUCAGUUCAUAUUUUUCUUUGCCCCGAAGCUUUAAGGCGCUGUCAGGACAAAACGGUGACCACAGUGAAUAUGUUCCAAUGUCUUCACCUGGAAAACUCUUGUAUGGUGGACCAGAAAAUGCAAAAGGGGUCAACAGCGAAGUUCUGGCUAACGGCAUCUCUAAAUCGCCAGUGGUAAAAGGUUCAGAUGAAGGACUUGUGCAGAACAGGGCUACUAGGCCCACAAGACUCCCUCUAGGUACAAGAGGGAGUAAUACUAUCCCAAGAAUGUAUGAUCGUACAGUCCCACCUGAGCCAGCGAGUCCCGGUGAAUACAUAAAUAUUGAUUUUAAUGAAAAGGCGAGUAAUACACCAUACUCCUUAUCUGCAGAAGGAUCGCCAUCAUCUCUAGGCUCAAGUAGUGACCACAGACAGUCCCCGCUUUCUGAUUAUAUGAGUGUUGACUUGGAUGUGCAGUCACCAAAAGCAGCAAAGGAACUGUCCAACUCUUUAACAGAUAUUUCCAUUUAUGCAAGUUCCAGUAUUCCUAGAAACCAACCAAAUCCUGACUACGCUAGGCUUUCGUUUGGUACUGCUUGUGUUAGCACCGCGAGUAACAGGACUGAUGACUACACAGAGAUGACAUUCAACAUGGCGGCAACUCCACCUCGGCCCUUUGCCACCGAAUCCAACAAUGGUGUAAAAAUUGAUAGCCCUUCUUCCAUAGUUAAUAGACUAUGCAUUGUUGAUCGAUAUGCUGGUAGCAGUAGCUUCUCUGUUCCUAGCUCUGAACCUCCCAUGGGACCGAAAGUGAUUCGAGCUGAUCCUCAAGGCAGGAGGAGACACAGUUCUGAGACAUUCUCUUCUGCUGGGACUGUGACAACCUCUUCCUCGUUCUUUACUGAUAGUAGCAAAAGACACAGCUCUGCCUCAUUUGACAAUGUUUGGUUAAAACCGGAUGAAAACAUUUCUGAUGGUCAGGAAAGCAAAAUGUCCAGGGAUACCUCAACUGGAUUUCAGAAUGGCUUAAACUACAUCGCUCUGAAUUUACGCGAUGAUCCUAUAAGCUGUGAGGCAAGUACUACAGCGCCAACUUGCCAUCUCCAAAAUGGUACUUCAGGUUUGGACAGUGGAGCUUACGUAAGCAUAGAUUUCAGCAGAUCUGAUGGUCUGAAGUGUAAUGCUGCGAGAAAAGGAAACAAACUCUACAGUUUUAAGUACUGUUGUGAUCAAAUGUGGCAUUCUUCAACUUAAAGGAAAAUGGAGUGAUAAAACUGAAAGGCAGAUUGUGGUGAACAAAAAAUCAGUUAGAAAUGAGUUGAAAAAAUGAAGAGAUUUGAUCUUGAGGUCCUUCAGACAAUAUUACGACAGUGAGUCUGUUAAUGAAAGCUUGCAGCUCCUGACGUGAUCUCUACUCAUUGUAGAACCUGAACAGGUGGCAUCUCUGGGCUUCAGGCAAUCUUCUAGCAUUGAGGAGGAGGCAGCAGCAUGGCUUCGGAGGAUUUGUAACCGGUGUGUCAGAGCAUUUGGAGUCCAGCUCAAAACUGGGAGGUCUGGAUGGCACCCGCUCAUCACUGCGGUGCUUUCAGCUGCUUCAGAGCAGCCUGCGGAAGCUGGAGUGCAAGACUGACUGCAUUGCCAUGGAAACCAUUGUUGGAAGAGAAGACUUUUCUGCUGGUAACUCCAGAAACUGUGUGGUGCUUUUGGAAGCAAAGCUCAGCUCCAGCCGGCUACUUUCAUUUCCACCAGCACGGACAUAGACACACAUCCUUUUAAUUAAUUUUUUCAUAGACAUCAGCUCUCUACAGUUGAAUUAAUUUGAAUUGAGAUUUUUUUUCAUAGCUGUGCUUUGGUGAUGGAAUUUGGUCUUUCACGUCAUAUCUAUUUGGUGGGAGGCAGUGUGAAUGCUGAUAGGAGAUCCCUGUAUGCCCCUUUCUUCCUCUUGCCUCUCCCAUUAAAUUUUUUUUUUUUAAUUUAUAUUCUGAGAAGUUAAAGCUGGUUUCUGAUUGUCUGUUUAACAUGGGGUUUGCUUCUCUGGUACAUUAACAAGUGGUUAGCUUAAAACAUGUAUUGUUGAGAAAUAUUUUGGCAGUUCAGGAUUUUUUUCAGGUGGCUGGGCGGAAGGAGGGAGGGAGAGGGGCACAUUAGCUCCGGGGGUGAACCCAUGGGACUGAACAGGUCUGGGAAGGAGAGACCUCUUCUGCCCCUUGGUUGGUUUGUUGUUUUGGUUUUUUUUUUUUAAGGUUUUGCUUUUUUGGUACAAGAGGUAUUUCUUGAUAAUAGGCUAGGAUAUUUUAAAUCAAUUGUCUGUCAGAGCUUAAACAAUUUAUUUUUUUGCUCAGAAUUUUGGUAUGUACAAAGUAGGAUUAAUGGGCUGGUUGUCUUGUAGAUUGUUUUUGUUCUUACCCUCAAGAUACUCAUUUAUAAAUACGAAUUGUGUAAAAUGAGGUUUUUGUUCAUGCAUUCAAAUGGAGAACUGCAGAGUCGUAUCCAGCGUUUGUGACUUCUGCAUUAUAUUUGUCAGCUGUAGCUUUUUAAAGGGAAACCACCCUAAUUGAUCUUACCUUCAACCAAAGCCCCAUUUUUAAUUUGGGACUAUUUUUGUUCUUUCUUCCUGGCAUAAUGGGGAAAAAAGUAAAAUGUUGGCUCAUCAAUUGUCUUUAUCCCACUUACAGAAAUGGGAACAAUGACUAUUUGCCACUUUGAAAAGAAGCCCUGAUUUUUCUACAAUUUAAGUGCUUCACUCUUGUACUGAGUUUUGUUUUGGUUGAAAUGAAUUUAGGUUUUUAACACUGCUAUGAACUUAAAGAGCAUGACACUAGUCGUUGGUACAUGCAAUGUAUAAUAAAAGGCACUGACGAUUAAUAAAGGGUUUAGAAGUGGUACACAAAUCCUCAUGCUGUACUGCACCACACAGCUGGUAAUCCUCUACAUUGUAUAUUGUACAACUGAUUUGUCAGGCUGCCUCACCUCUAACAUACAACCUUUCAAUUGCUAGUACAGUUUGUAUAACAAAUAAGACACUGUCAACUUUGAUUGUUUGGUGAUGUGUACCCAAAUCUAUUUUUGAGUAGUAUUAAAAUGUACAUGUCACUAAAAUAUGAAGACUUUUUUUUGGAAACAUGGUACCAAUCAGUUUACGCAGUGUCUAGUGACAGGAAAAAAACUGUUGCUACAGGGUUUAAAAGCACAGAUCUGUUUUUGAUUCUGGAAGAUAAGUUGGGUACAGUUACUUGUUGCUGCUAAACAUACACUAAUUAAAAAUACGACCACUCUUACAGACCAUGAUACUGUCUUGCCAUAUAGCUCUUGUUUGGUCUCGUAAAUUAAUAAUGCAAUAUGUAGACAGCUUUUUUAAAGCUUUACAUCUUUUCUAAGAAAUCAAAAUUUGGAUGACGAUAGUUCUAAACAUUUAAUGUGAAAGGAAAAGGUUGUUUUGAAGAAAUUUGUUACAUACUUAUUUCAUAUUAGAUCCCUGAGGCUGCCAUUGUACAAUAUACAGCACUGAUUUAAUAAAUGCUGAAUAAAUAAGUAAAUGGGUAACCUCAAGUAUAGUGGUACAAAUACUAAUAGGUACAGCAUAAUAAAUAUGCAAUCUUUUUGAAUCUCUUAGUUUACAGCAACUAAUUUAUUCAGUAUUGUGCUGGAAGAACAUUUUCAGAUGAUGUAAAACAUAUCACUAUAUAUACUAUCUUCCAGCUACCCGUUUAUGCUGCUGUAUAGUACAAAAAUACCAAUGAUAGAACAAUGUUUGUCCUGUAAAUUUAAUUUGAUAUUGGACAGUUAUUGUCUGUACAAACUAAAACAUAUAUGGUUGAAACUGUUCAUUAUAUUUGCUAUUUCUGCUUCACAGAUCUGUUUUAAAGUUGAGCUGAUUGAUCUGGCUUUGUCUUCCAUUGUAAAUAUUGUUAUGUUGUUUUCUUUGUAAAACACAUCGCGUUUGCGGUUUUGGGAGACUGGCUUGAAGCUCUGUAUAGUGUUUAUAUUUAUCUGACUUGGCUUUCCAUAGAGCUACUUGCAGUAAAUACGUGUUCAUG